rnacentral:rRNA from 1 species
UAAUACGUAGGGGGCAAGCGUUGUCCGGAAUCAUUGGGCGUAAAGAGCGUGUAGGCGGCCUGAUCAGUCUGCUGUGAAAGUCCAGGGCUUAACCCUGGAAUGCCGGUGGAUACUGUCAGGCUUGAGUCCGGAAGAGGCGAGUGGAACUCCUGGUGUAGCGGUGGAAUGCGCAGAUAUCAGGAAGAACACCAAUGGCGAAGGCAGCUCGCUGGGACGGUACUGACGCUGAGACGCGAAAGCGUGGGGAGCAAACAGG